rnacentral:rRNA from 1 species
GAUGAACGCUGGCGGCGUGCUUAACACAUGCAAGUCGAACGGAAAGGCCCAAGCUUGCUUGGGUACUCGAGUGGCGAACGGGUGAGUAACACGUGGGUGAUCUGCCCUGCACUUCGGGAUAAGCCUGGGAAACUGGGUCUAAUACCGGAUAGGACGAUGGUUUGGAUGCCAUUGUGGAAAGUUUUUUCGGUGUGGGAUGAGCUCGCGGCCUAUCAGCUUGUUGGUGGGGUAAUGGCCUACCAAGGCGUCGACGGGUAGCCGGCCUGAGAGGGUGUACGGCCACAUUGGGACUGAGAUCCGGCCCAGACUCCUACGGGCGGCAGCAGUGGGGAAUAUUGCACAAUGGGCGCAAGCCUGAUGCAGCGACGCCGCGUGGGGGAUGACGGCCUUCGGGUUGUAAACUCCUUUCGCUAGGGACGAAGCGUUUUUGUGACGGUACCUGGAGAAGAAGCACCGGCUAACUACGUG